rnacentral:rRNA from 1 species
CCUACGGGAGGCAGCAGUGAGGAAUAUUGGUCAAUGGACGCAAGUCUGAACCAGCCAUGCCGCGUGCAGGAAGACGGCUCUAUGAGUUGUAAACUCCUUUUGUACGGGGGUAAACGCAGAUACGCGUAUCUGUCUGAAAGUAUCGUACGAAUAAGGCACGGCUAACUCCGUGCCAGCAGCCGCGGUAAUACGGAGGUGUCAAGCUUUAUCCGGAUUUAUUGGGUUGAAGGGGUGCGUAGGCGGUCGGAGAAGUUAGAGGUGAAAUCCCGAGGCUCAACUUCGGAAUUGCGUCUGAUACUGUUCGGCUAGAGAGUAGGUGAGGUAAGUGGAAUGUAUGGUGUAGCGGUGAAAUGCUUAGAGAUCAUACAGAACACCGAUUGCGAAGGCAGCUUACCAAGCUACUUCUGACGUUGAGGCACGAAAGCGUGGGGAGCAAACAGGAUUAGAUACCCGUGUAGUC